rnacentral:rRNA from 1 species
CCUACGGGAGGCAGCAGUGAGGAAUAUUGGUCAAUGGACGAGAGUCUGAACCAGCCAAGUAGCGUGAAGGAUGACUGCCCUAUGGGUUGUAAACUUCUUUUAUAUGGGAAUAAAAUGUUCCACGUGUGGGAUUUUGUAUGUACCAUAUGAAUAAGGAUCGGCUAACUCAGUGCCAGCAGCCGCGGUAAUACGGAGGAUCCGAGCGUUAUCCGGAUUUAUUGGGUUUAAAGGGAGCGUAGGUGGAUUGUUAAGUCAGUUGUGAAAGUUUGCGGCUCAACCGUAAAAUUGCAGUUGAAACUGGCAGUCUUGAGUACAGUAGAGGUGGGCGGAAUUCGUGGUGUAGCGGUGAAAUGCUUAGAUAUCACGAAGAACUCCGAUGGCGAAGGCAGUUCACUGGACUGCAACUGACACUGAGGCUCGAAAGUGUGGGUAUCAAACAGGAUUAGAUACCCGGGUAGUC